GAUGAACGCUGGCGGCGUGCCUAAUACAUGCAAGUCGAGCGCAGCGGGGACGGGUGUGUAACACGUGGAUUACCCUCCAUAAGACUGGGAUAAAUUCGUGAAACACGAGCUAAAACCGCUACUUAUAGAUGGAUCCGCGCUGCAUUAGCUAGGUGGUAAGGUAACGGCUGACCAGGGGAACGAUGCAUAGCGGACCUGGGAGGGUGAUCGGCCACACUGGAACUGAGAAACGGUCCAGAAUCCUACGGGAGGCAGCAGUAGGGAAUCUUCCGCAAUGGGCGAAAGCCUGACGGAGCAAGGCCGCGGGAGUGUUGAAGGUCUUCGGAUCGUAAACCUCGGUUAUUAGGGAGGCGGUACCGAAACAGAAAGCCACGGCUAACUACGUGCCAGCAGCCGCGGUAAUUC
rnacentral:rRNA from 1 species